AUUAUUAUAGUUUAAAAAAACAUUAUAUUUUCAUUAUAAAAUUAAAUUAUUUAUUUUAAUAAUA
rnacentral:tRNA from 1 species